rnacentral:rRNA from 1 species
AUUGAACGCUGGCGGCAGGCCUAACACAUGCAAGUCGAGCGGAGCGGCGGACGGGUGAGUAAUGCCUAGGAAUCUGCCUGGUAGUGGGGGAUACCGUCCGGAAACGGGCGCUAAUACCGCAUACUAUCAGAUGAGCCUAGGUCGGAUUAGCUAGUUGGGGGGGUACAGGCCUACCAAGGCGACGAUCCGUAACUGGUCUGAGAGGAAGAUCAGUCACACUGGAAGUGAGACACGGUCCAUGCGCCGCGGGGAGGCAGCAGUGGGUAAUAUUGGACAAUGGGCGAAAGCCUGAUCCAGCCAUGCCGCGUGUGUGAAGAAGGUGUUCGGACUGUAAAGCACUUUAAGUUGGGAGGCGUUACCAACAGAAUAAGCACCGGCUAACUUCGUGCCAGCAGCCGCGGUAAUAC